AUGAACGCUGGCGGCGUGCUUAACACAUGCAAGUCGCACGAGAAGUGGAGACGGAAACCUUCGGGCGGAAGACUUUACUUCGAGUGGCGGACGGGUGAGUAACGCGUGGGUAACCUGCCUCAUACAGGGGGAUAACAGUUGGAAACGACUGUUAAUACCGCAUAAGACCACAGCACCGCAUGGUGCGGGGGUAAAAACUCCGGUGGUAUGAGAUGGACCCGCGUUCGAUUAGCCAGUUGGCGGGGUAACGGCCCACCAAAGCGACGAUCGAUAGCCGAUCUGAGAGGAUGACCGGCCACAUUGGGACUGAGACACGGCCCAAACUCCUACGGGAGGCAGCAGUGGGGAAUAUUGCACAAUGGGGGAAACCCUGAUGCAGCGACGCCGCGUGAGUGAAGAAGUAUUUCGGUAUGUAAAGCUCUAUCAGCAGGGAAGAAAAUGACAGUACCUGAGUAAGAAGCCCCGGCUAACUACGUG
rnacentral:rRNA from 1 species